rnacentral:lncRNA from 1 species
UUCUUUUCUUUUUUUUUUUUUUGAGAGAUAGGUAGCACGCUAUCCGAUUCAUUUAUUUCAUUUAGAAAUAAACUUAGCUGAAAAUGUGAAUCAAUUAGGAUUUGAAUUUAGGUCUCGGAUACCAACCACCAAGUCCUUUGUCACUUGCUCUAGGAACGGUCGGUAAGUUCGAUCUUUGUUAAGAAGGUGAGAUUGGGACUCAAAGAGUUG